rnacentral:rRNA from 1 species
UACAGAGGGUGCGAGCGUUAAUCGGAAUUACUGGGCGUAAAGCGCACGUAGGUGGCGACGUAAGUCGGGUGUGAAAGCCCCGGGCUCAACCUGGGAAUUGCAUUCGAGACUGCAUUGCUGGAGUACGGAAGAGGAAGGCGGAAUUCCCGGUGUAGCGGUGAAAUGCGUAGAUAUCGGGAGGAACAUCUGUGGCGAAGGCGACUGCCUGGACCAGCACUGACACUGAGGCACGAAAGCGUGGGGAGCAAACAGG